rnacentral:sRNA from 1 species
UGUAGAUGUGUGUGAACAUGAAUUCAAGUGCCCUGGAGGCUAGAAAAUGGCAGAGAACUGUUUGGAAAUGAAGUUACAGCCAGUUGUGAGCUGCUCAAUAUAGGUGCUGGGACUCCAUCUUGAAUUCUUUAGGUCUUUAAGGAAUUUUAUUGUAAAGGGAUAUCAUGAAUUGUGUCAUGUCAAAACACUGCACACUGGACAUGUCUCUGGGAUCAUUUUUAGAGAAGUUCAGCUAAGAAAACCAGAUUCAUCCUGACUUUGUGUAGCACCAUCCCAUAGGCUGGAGUCCAAGAAUAAAAGGUAGAGAAGAAGAACACCAAAGAUCCAGGAGCUCUAGCAAGUACUCUGAGGGCAGCAGAAGCAAGACUUAGAAGGCU